AGAAAACAAUAAUGUCACCCCAACUCCGUUGAGGGUGCCAUAACUAGAUUUGUAAUUGCUAGCAAUAACGGAUGGCACCCUCGUCCCCCCAUUGCCAGGCGAGCGGCAGCCAUUUUGGAAAUUCCAAAGUCAAAGAGUGCAUCUACACCUGCAAGUUAUCAUUUUUGCAAAAUUUCAUUGAAGCAUUUUGAAAUUUUGGACAAUUUUGCUGUUUCCAUGGUUACGGCGGCCAUUUUGGAAAUUCCAACUUCAAAAUGCAACUCCGCACAUGUCAGUCACUAUUCCUGUAAAGUUUCAUCCAGUUUGCAGCACUUAAUUUUUUUUUGGAAAUUUUGAACAUUUGUGCUGCAACCAUGGUUACAGUAGAUAAUUCCAAAAUUCUAAAAGCGUACAUCUCAUUGCCACAUGUCAUGUUAUAUAUCAAUACAGUUUCAUUGACUUUGGUGCACUACUCUCUGAGAAAAUGCUGAUUUUAUGCAUUUUUCCAUAGGGUCAAUGCAAAACUUGGCCCCAGUUUCCAUGACAACGGCGGCCAUUUUGAACUAUCCAUAUAUUGUCUUGACAUCUUGGCAUACUGGAGAACAUUUUCAUAAAGUUUCAUCCAGUUGGAUCUUAUAACGAAAGAGUUAGAAUUUUUGAUAUUUUAGCUGUUUCCAUGGUAACGGCAGCCAUUUUGAAAAUUCCAAAGUCAAACUGGAAAUCAGCACAUGCCAGUUAACAUUCCUGUGGAGUUUCUUCCAGUUUGGACCACUUUGAUUUUUUUCGCAUUUGUGCUGUUUCCAUGGAAACGGCGG
rnacentral:lncRNA from 1 species